UUGUCAUCCUUUCUCUCAUUUUUUCAUUAUCUUCGUUUCGUAGUAGUUGGACACGUCUAUUUAAUUUCUAAUUCUUUUAAUAUUUCACGCUUAUUCUGAUUUACCAAUGAAAAACGAAAAUUAACUGCUUAGACGUAUAGGAUGCAGAUGCAGAAGUUGACAGCGAUAAGUGUAGGUUUCUUCGUCCACUUCUACAAGGUGUGCGGUGGGUAAGAAUUAUCUUAUUCAGAUACUAUGUAAAACAUUUAUGGUUAGUAAUCGUGUAUAAUAAAUAAUCACUUGUUUCUAUUUAUAUUUUCUGCAUUAACCAAUAUUGUCUGAUUAAAAAAUCUUACAAAAAGGAUUCAAUAAGGUGUUGCAACGCAUGCCGAAUUAGCUGGUCUUAUAUAAAAGUAAUUUAAAAAAAUUAUCAUUUUAUAUUUGAGAUAUAGAAGGUUAUAUUUAUUAUAAAUUAUUCCCUUUUUUCCUUGUAAUUUUUGAUUAUAUAAAAGCUUGUUUUUAAGUAAAACUUAUAUAUCAAAUUAUGCAUCUAUUUUAUGUUUAAUUGUUGGAAGUAGUUUAUUUGUCAUUUCAUUAUAAAAUUAAGAAGUUUUAUGUUUAUUGUUAUAGUAAAAAUUGUAUAGCAGUGUAAUUUAUUGUAGAACUUAAAUUAAUUGCUGAUAAGUAAAAGUAUUAUAUCAUUAAUUAUGGAAAUUGUAAAUAAGACAU